rnacentral:rRNA from 1 species
UGGGGAAUUUUGCACAAUGGGGGAAACCCUGAUGCAGCGACGCCGCGUGAUUUAGAAGGCCUUCGGGUUGUAAAAAUCUUUUCUAUGGGAAGAAAAUGACAGUACCAUAGGAAUAAGGACCGGCUAAUUACGUGCCAGCAGCCGCGGUAAUACGUAAGGUCCGAGCGUUGUCCGGAAUCAUUGGGCGUAAAGGGUACGUAGGCGGGUAAGCAAGUUAGAAGUGAAAUCCUGUAGCUCAACUACAGUAAGCUUUUAAAACUGCUCAUCUUGAGAUAUGGAAGGGAAAGUGGAAUUCCUAGUGUAGCGAUGAAAUGCGCAGAUAUUAGGAGGAAUACCGGUGGCGAAGGCGACUUUCUGGCCAUAAUCUGACGCUGAGGUACGAAAGCGUGGGUAGCAAACAGG